rnacentral:rRNA from 1 species
UACGUAGGUCCCGAGCGUUGUCCGGAUUUAUUGGGCGUAAAGUGAGCGCAGGUGGUUUAUUAAGUCUGGUGUAAAAGGCAGUGGCUCAACCAUUGUAUGCAUUGGAAACUGGUAGACUUGAGUGCAGGAGAGGAGAGUGGAAUUCCAUGUGUAGCGGUGGAAUGCGUAGAUAUAUGGAGGAACACCGGUGGCGAAAGCGGCUCUCUGGCCUGUAGCUGACACUGAGGCUCGAAAGCGUGGGGAGCAAACAGG